UCAGCAGACAAGUGUCUUUACCUGGUCAUAGCCUGUUGUGUACUGGCAUUUCUCCUGAUAGCAGUGUCAUGCUGUUUUGCGUGUAGAGAAAUUAAGCAUCGUAAGCAAGGUUCACGUGUGCCUGAGAAUCUUUCCCUUAAUUAACAAGUUGACUGAGCUGACCUCUCCAAUAAUCAACACUGGACACUGAACUAAAGAUUCCUGAAAAUGGAAAAAAAAUCAAACGACAAAAAAAGCAAUCAGGAGGUGACUGUGAUAUUUUAAUUUUGUAUCUGUAUAUACUGAAAAAGACUUGUUGGGGUUUUGUCUGUAUUAUUGUAGGGCCUUUACUGUGCAAUAUAACACAGAUUGAGGCGACUGUAAUUGUGAUUUGGUGCAAUACAAAUAAAACAGCAUGGAAAUUGAUUAAAAAACAGUGAACUGUAAAAAAUGUAUACUUGCUGACCAGUGCAGAAGGAGCUUUGAAAUCAUAUUUUUUUUAGGUCACAUCAAUUAUCCUGUGUCCCACUUUCUUAAACAACAAUAAAAACACUCUUUUAAGUUAAUGCUAAAAGCAAAGCAAAACAAAACAAAUACAGCAAUGUGAAACUUUUUUAACAUAAAAAUGUAUCAUAUUGUACUUAAAACAAUAUUUAAUAUUUCUCAGGGAAUGUCUUUUCUUUCAUUACAAAUAUAUUCACUGACAAAAAUUGUUUCUGUAAUUGGUUAUUCCUGUACUGCAAAUAUUACAAAUCAAAGAUUAUCAACAUGUAGACGAUUAAAAGGUUUAUUUCUAAA